GUGGGUACAGCUCAGUGGCAGAGCCUGUGCCUGGCAUGCAUGAGAUCCUGGGUUCAAUCCUCAGUGCCUCUG
rnacentral:tRNA from 1 species